UGAGGAAUAUUGGUCAAUGGGCGAUAGCCUGAACCAGCCAAGUCGCGUGAGGGAAGACGGCCCUAUGGGUUGUAAACCUCUUUUGCCGGGGAGCAAGGCUUUCACGUGUGGAAGUUUGAGAGUACCCGGAGAAAAAGCAUCGGCUAACUCCGUGCCAGCAGCCGCGGUAAUACGGAGGAUGCGAGCGUUAUCCGGAUUUAUUGGGUUUAAAGGGUGCGUAGGCGGAAGAUCAAGUCAGCGGUAAAAAUGCGGGGCCCAACCCCGUCGAGCCGUUGAAACUGGUUUUCUUGAGUGGGCGAGAGGUAUGCGGAAUGCGUGGUGUAGCGGUGAAAUGCAUAGAUAUCACGCAGAACCCCGAUUGCGAAGGCAGCAUACCGGCGCCCGACUGACGCUGAGGCACGAAAGCGUGGGUAUCGAACAGG
rnacentral:rRNA from 1 species